CGUAGGGGGCAAGCGUUGUCCGGAUUCAUUGGGCGUAAAGAGCGUGUAGGCGGCCAGGUAGGUCGGUUGUGAAAACUGGAGGCUCAACCUUCAGAGGUCGACCGAAACCAUCUGGCUAGAGUCCGGGAGAGGAGAGUGGAAUUCCUGGUGUAGCGGUGAAAUGCGCAGAUAUCAGGAAGAACACCCGUGGCGAAAGCGGCUCUCUGGAACGGUACUGACGCUGAGACGCGAAAGCGUGGGGAGCGAACAGGAUU
rnacentral:rRNA from 1 species